GACGAACGCUGGCGGCGUGCUUAACACAUGCAAGUCGAACGGAAAGGCCCUGCUUUUGUGGGGUGCUCGGGUGGCGAACGGGUGAGUAACACGUGAGUAACCUGCCCUUGACUUUGGGAUAACUUCAGGAAACUGGGGCUAAUACCGGAUAGGAGCUCCUGCUGCAUGGUGGGGGUUGGAAAGUUUCGGCGGUUGGGGAUGGACUCGCGGCUUAUCAGCUUGUUGGUGGGGUAGUGGCUUACCAAGGCUUUGACGGGUAGCCGGCCUGAGAGGGUGACCGGCCACAUUGGGACUGAGAUACGGCCCAGACUCCUACGGGAGGCAGCAGUAGGGAAUAUUGCACAAUGGGCGGAAGCCUGAUGCAGCAACGCCGCGUGCGGGAUGACGGCCUUCGGGUUGUAAACCGCUUUCGCCUGUGACGAAGCGUGAGUGACGGUAAUGGGUAAAGAAGCACCGGCUAACUACGUG
rnacentral:rRNA from 1 species